UCUCCUCUUAUCUCUUUUCUUUUUCUACAAAAUCUUUGUCGCCAUCGUGAUUGUGACCAUCAUUAUUGCUUGAUCUUCUUUUCUGAUUGAAAUACUAAUUUAGCUGAACUUGGGAUUGGUGAGUGGGGAGUGGGGAAAUUUUAGAUUUUCCUUAUUAGUUAGAGCAUUGAAGUUUGCAAGACAGAGGGAGAUUUAGGAGAUUCGAAAAGGAAAGAAGAGACAGGUAAUUACGAUGAUAAGUCCCAAGGCAAUAUCCCUGAGCCAAGACUUUUUAAUGAGAUUUUAAAAGCAAAGAAGAAAAACCACUCGUUUCACAAGCAAUAUGAAAGGUCAUAAUGUGGAAAGUUAGGAGCAUGGCAAGUCUCUCUCUCUCUCUCUGUUUGUAUGUGUUUAGUAGGAAUAGUUAAAGUUGAUAUUGCCUAUUUAUCACUAACAUGUUCGAUAUGCGCCUCUUGUGGAAACCUAUUCAUGACUCGAAUCUCCAAUGACACCUGUUUCAUUACAAUGUAGAGCUUGUUAAUUCUGUGGGUAUUUACACAAAUUGCUCUUGCUCAUGAGUAUUGGAUAAGAUAUAAAGAGCUUCCGGUUUCAUAGUUUUCCUUGGAAUAUGUUCUUUCGCACUGCAUCAAAACAACAACGGUUCUCUGAAAGUACUUAAACAGAACUAAGAUAACACAUUAAUAGGUGUAAGUGUUUAUGCACUAAACUUAGUCAUCUCUUAAUUUUCAUAUCAAUUCGUUGAUCAUUUCCAAUUUGGGCUUUGAUGUAUGCGACGCAAAUUCUUUGUGAUAUUAAUUUACAUUAUCAUGAAUGAGAAAAUCGUGUCUGCCAAUGGUCGUCCCAACUGACAUAUGUUCUUCUGAAGCAACUCAGUGUCUUUUUGAGUUUUUAGCUAAGUAAAUUAUAUUAGAACCUUUUGGUUAGGUCUUAUCUCUAACCUCACCCCCCCCCCCCCCCCCACAAGAGGACAAGGUGAGUGUCCAGAUUUUCACUGUAAAGUAAUUCAGAGUAGAUGAUCAAGCAUGGUGGAAAUGACUGGACUUUUGCAUUUCACGAUUGAUGUAUAACAUCCUAUAAAAAGCUUUCUUGAUGAUCAAGUUCAUCGAGUUUCUUAAUUGAGAUUUCAAUGCUAUGGUAUUAGCUAGUUGUGGCUUGUAUGGAUACGGAACUUAUUGUUUUUCUUCAUCUUAUAUCAUGUUCUUUGAUUUCAUUUAGAUCAGUACUGCUUACAAUUUUGACAUUUCUACAGGGCAGCGACAGAUGUGUGUUGAGAUUGAAUAUUCAAGAAUCUUACUUUGUGUUUAAAGAAUAUUGGUACUAGACAUAGUCACAUAUAUUUCACUGUGUCACUUGUUAUGCUGGGGAGAGUAAUUUCUGGCUUUCUGCAGAAAAGAAAGAAAGUAAAAGAGCAUGAAUGUUUGAACCAUCUUGCAAUGCAAAUUGGUAUAUGCAGAUUGUUAAUUGAUGGUUUUUAUUUUGUGAAGUGAACCAACAUAAAUAAGGGGAUCUGUGGAGUUUUUCGGAUAAGAAACCAUCAGAUAAUUGAUACGGGUAACAUUGACAGCAGGAGCAAGAAUUUAUGGCAAAUUGCAUCUCAAGCAUCUACUUUUAUUCUCACUGUUGAAAGAUGGGAUGGGGAUGCGAUGAGGUACCUCCACACUCAAUUCCUUAUUGAACCCCAAAAGGGGCAGUACUGUAAGGGAGAAAAAGUGCUAUUUUUAAACUGUCAUAAUCUCUUGCUGUUGCUAUGUUGCUUUUUUCUUGGUCCCAAGGUCUUAUGGAGUGGUUAUGAACAACAGAAACAACUGACAGGCAAACACGGCGUGGCUCGUUUCCUUAACUGAUGAAAUGCGUUUUCUCACACUUAUGGACUCGAGGAGUAAAAGAGUAGGGUAAUCUUGAUCCUUUUGGUCAUGCCUUGUCCAAUGAUUUUACUCAAGACUCUCCCUGCUCAAAAUUAUGUAGGGCCGGAACCAAAUAACAAAUCAUACAGUCGAAAUGCAAUCUGAAACAUAACAGUAGUGCCAUAAUAUUCCCUUGUAGGGGCCCAUGGUUGUUGAAAAUGCAAACAAGAUAUAUAGCACUUUGAGUCUUGUCUUGUGGGAUAGUGAAGAAUACUCUUAUUAGCACUAUAAUCUUGACCAUGAUUUAGGAAGCAGAUCAUAACCUAGGAAAAUGGCCUGGUGGAGAGAAUCUGCUAUGGCUAGAUCGUCCACAUUAUUUGGUCUCGUCUCGAUUCGUUUCAUCAUGAUUUGCCAAGAAAUUAAACACCCAAAAGAAAAAUCCACAGAGAGUCAACCAUAAAAACCAAGAAUUGUCUGGCACUUGAUUUUUACUUUGUCCUUGUUGGUGGUGCUUCUUUAUGGGGUGCACACUCUAUUUGUACCAGUAGAAAGUUGCAAUGAAUAAGUUGGUUAGUAUAUGCAACCAUCUUAGAUAAA